GCCAGCAGCCAUAUCACCCUGCAACUCACAACUGGCAGCCCACUGAAGCUCAGCGGGUGUGAGCCUGGUCAGUACCUGGAUAAGAGACCUCCUGGGAAAACCUAAUGCUGCUGCUGGUA
rnacentral:rRNA from 1 species